AUGGCCCCUGUUCGUCGCCCGGAGCACGGACCGCCGCCGCAUUACGGUGAUGAUGAUCCUAUGUUUUCUGUUCAAAUAUGGCAUGGAGGUUUUUUCAUGGGCCAAGGCAGAAGCAAAAAGUACUAUGGAGGGCAGAGCAUCUGGUUUGAUAACAUAGACAAGAACACAUGGUCACCCCCAGAUGUGGAUGAUCUCAUAGAGCAGAUAGGGUAUGAGAAGGAAGGAAGGAUGACAGUGUACUACUGCAUGCCAGGUCUUCAAGACAACACAAAUGGGCUUAGAGUGAUCAAUGGAGAGGAUGCCACAGAUAACAUGAGAGCUUUUGUGACAUUUGGGCAUCAUUUCAUUGAUAUUUUUUUGGAACAUGAUGAUUCUAUCAGGGAUCUUGAUGAUGUAGUUAGGUUCCCAAUUCAAGAUCUCCCAAAAGUCAUCAGCCCAAUGAAGCCAUUGAAUGUGGUCAGACCUGAAUCAGGGGAAAGUUUCAGGACAACAACUGAAGUACUAAAGGAGAAAGGCAAGUCAGUUAUCAAUAUGGAUGCAGAUGAUGUUCAUGACAAUGAUGCAAGUGGAGGAUCAACAGAUUCAGAAGAAGAGGGUAGUGACAUUGAUUAUGUGCCUGAAAUUGCAGAUAGUGACUAUGCCAUAUCAGAGGGAGAUGAUGACUUGUAUGUGAACAAUUGCUUUGAUGCUGUAGAGGAGAAUAGGAAUGAGGAACAAUUGGAUGUGUCAGAAGAUGAUGAGUUAAGAAGGCCAGAUUCUGAUGAUGAAGGAAUAACUGAGAUGAACUUCAAGACAUGUAGGGAUGAAGAUUUAAUAUGCCCUAAGUUUCAUGUGGGGCAAGUUUUUCAGAAUGUGCAGCUGCUUAGGAAGGCUAUCAAAGAAUACUCAUGCAGGAACAGGGUCAACCUGAAGAUGCCAACUAAUGACAAGAUGAGGGUUUGUGCAAAAUGUGAGGAGGGGUGCCCUUGGUAUCUAUGGGCAUCCAAUGACAAUAGGACAAAUGCAUUCAUGGUUAAGAAGCUUGUGGACAAACACACAUGCAGCAAGAAAUGGCAAGUGAAAAGCUUCACAGCUCCAUACAUGGCAGAGAAGUAUUUGGACUCAUUUAGGGCAAAUGAAAACAUGAGCAUGAAGAACUUCUCUAGGGUGGUGCAGGAACAAUGGAAUAUGAAGCCUACAAGGAGUAAGCUUAGGAGGUACAUUCUUGAGGCCAGAGAGCUCCCCAUAUUGUCAUUGAUCAUGACAAUAAAAAAGCAGUUGAUGACAAGGUUCUACAACAAGAGAGAGGAAGCAGAAACAUGGGAUGGCACUGUUUGCCCCAAAAUUAAGAAAAGACUUGAGAAGAAUGAUGAUUUGUCAGCUACAUGUCAUGCAUCAAAUGCAGGGGAUGGAAUAUUCUAG
rnacentral:rRNA from 1 species